CUAAAACCUUUCUUGCAGAAAAGAAGAAAAGAAUAGACACUUAGGGAAAAUGAGAAAAAGCAAAAAUAAGUGGAUAAAUUAUUAUUCUGUUAGAUUUUUGAAAUGGUGAUAAGGUUCGUGUUCUGUCCAUUUAUAAUUUGGGAAAAGUAAGAGGCUUUCAUGGCCACAGUGUCUUUAUUUUCCCUUAUGUCAGUGGAUAAUGUGUGGUGCCAUCGCCUGUGAGUACUUCAAGCCUUAAGGUUGCUUUUUCAGAAUUAUUACUAGCUAAUACCAUCAGUAGGUCUAAUCAAAAGCAAUCAACGUAGAAGUUUAAAUUACCCACCCAUGACCUCAGCUCUGCCUCCGCCCACCCCCGCACGACGCCAGAAGAAUGGAAAGAUUCUCCACCGGAGCAAAGGAAUUAAAGGAUGCUUCAACUCAAAUAAAAAGCUAAAAGGUGGGCCUAAAGGUCUGUGAGUGCAGGAAGUGA
rnacentral:lncRNA from 1 species